rnacentral:rRNA from 1 species
UACGUAGGGUCCGAGCGUUGUCCGGAAUUAUUGGGCGUAAAGGGCUCGUAGGCGGUUUGUUGCGUCGGGAGUGAAAACUUACAGCUUAACUGUGAGCGUGCUUCCGAUACGGGCAGACUUGAGGUAUUCAGGGGAGAACGGAAUUCCUGGUGUAGCGGUGAAAUGCGCAGAUAUCAGGAGGAACACCGGUGGCGAAGGCGGUUCUCUGGGAAUAUCCUGACGCUGAGGAGCGAAAGCAUGGGGAGCGAACAGG